rnacentral:rRNA from 1 species
AGCAAACCCGCUGAACUUAAGCAUAU